rnacentral:rRNA from 1 species
GACGAACGCUGGCGGCGUGCUUAACACAUGCCAGUCGAACGGUGAAGCGCCUUCCUUUUUGGUGGGUGUGGAUGAGUGGCGAACGGGUGAGUAACACGUGAGUAACCUGCCCCCUUCUUCUGGAUAACCGCAUGAAAGUGUGGCUAAUACGGGAUAUUCUGGGUCUGUCGCAUGAUGGGUCUGGGAAAGAUAUUGUUUCGGUGGGGGAUGGGCUCGCGGCCUAUCAGCUUGUUGGUGGGGUGAUGGCCUACCAAGGCGGUGACGGGUAGCCGGCCUGAGAGGGUGGACGGUCACACUGGGACUGAGACACGGCCCAGACUCCUACGGGAGGCAGCAGUGGGGAAUAGUGCACAAUGGGCGCAAGCCUGAUGCAGCGACGCCGCGUGAGGGAUGGAGGCCUUCGGGUUGUGAACCUCUUUCGCCAGUGAAGCAGGCCUGCCUCGUUUGUGGGUGGGUUGACGGUAGCUGGAGAAGAAGCGCCGGCUAACUACGUG